AUGUUACCUUGUAUGUGUUUUGCAGAAAGAGCAACAAAUGGUUAGACCUAUUAUUCUUCGUUCCAUACCUACUUCUUUCUAGGUUUCCCGAAACAAGAGAACUUUUUGUGCCGUCCCGUCAUCACAAGGAACUUGUUACUUGUGGAUCAUAACACCUAUCUAUGCUUUACUUCCCACUAUUCUCUAAUUUCUCUUUUUCUUGUGUGCGCCUGCAUGACAAGAUUAUGUUUUGUGUGUAGGUUAGUGAGGUGCUAAACAUUGUUGUCCAAUAACCAACUCCGGGUUCUUCUCUAAUUCCUAAUAGUAACUUUUUGGUUACCAGUAUUAUUUUUGUCCUAUCAUUAUGAGGAACUUGCAGAAGGAAUUUUAUGGUACUGUGUAUAUGUUCUGCAGAACGAGAAUCAGGGAAAGCCUUAUUUUGAUCAGUUUCAUCUCGUUAGUUACUGUCCUUUUAUCUGCCUUUGGAGGCGUUUAAUUCAUUUGUUAUGUUUCCGGGUCUAUAACUGCAGUUCUCUAUGGGCUUGUCAACAUUUAUUGUGCCUGGAUGAUCAUUUCAGAUUGUAUUUCUUUCUGUGCUUAAAAGCUGGGUGCCUGAAUAGGAUAACUGAUAGAUGGCGCCAUUGGUUCUACAUUUAGAUUUUUGCAGAAUGAAAAGUAAAUGACUGGACCUUUGUUUUGAUUGAUAUCGUUCCAUGGGCCAUGGUUAGUUGGCUACUAAACACUACAGUUCUGGCGUCUAGAUGACCAUCUGCUCUGGUCUUUUACCUCCUUUUUAGCAUUAUUUGUUUCUGGCCUUCGCGUCCUGAUUAAAAUUUCUUUAAUUUUGCUCUCUUGAUCAUAGGUUUAUGAAAGCUUGUAUUUUGAUUGGACCAUUGAGUAUUGAAUUGCCUGAAACACUCUUUUGCUCAUAGUUCCUUGAGUUGCCUGCAUUUGAGAUUGAAGACAAUAAAUGUGAGAGGAGUUCUAAUGAUUAAAUCAGUAAUUUUUUAGUGUAUUUUGAUACAUUUUCUUUUAUGGUUCCGUUACAUAUCUGCCUAGACAUGUUGAGCACAAGCAAAAUUAAUGCUUCAUUUUAAAUAUUGUAAAUUUGUAAGUAGUAAUCUGGAAAUGGUUGAAGAAUCAUAAAGGUGUC
rnacentral:lncRNA from 1 species